rnacentral:rRNA from 1 species
AGUGAACGCUGGCGGUAGGCCUAACACAUGCAGGUCGAACGGCAGCACAGUAAGAGCUUGCUCUUACGGGUGGCGAGUGGCGGACGGGUGAGGAAUACAUCGGAAUCUACUUUUUCGUGGGGGAUAACGUAGGGAAACUUACGCUAAUACCGCAUACGACCUACGGGUGAAAGCAGGGGAUCUUCGGACCUUGCGCGAUUGAAUGAGCCGAUGUCGGAUUAGCUAGUUGGCGGGGUAAAGGCCCACCAAGGCGACGAUCCGUAGCUGGUCUGAGAGGAUGAUCAGCCACACUGGAACUGAGACACGGUCCAGACUCCUACGGGGGGCAGCAGUGGGGAAUAUUGGACAAUGGGCGCAAGCCUGAUCCAGCCAUACCGCGUGGGUGAAGAAGGCCUUCGGGUUGUAAAGCCCUUUUGUUGGGAAAGAAAAGCAGCAGGUUAAUACCCCGCUGUUCUGACGGUACCCAAAGAAUAAGCACCGGCUAACUUCGUG